ensembl:snRNA U6 U6 spliceosomal RNA
UCGCUUCGACAGCACAUAUACUAAAAUUGGAAUGACACAGAGAAGAUUAACAUGGCCCCUGCACAAGGAUGAUAUGCAAAUUCGUGAAGUGUUCCAUAUUUUU